UGGCCACUACUUCUCUCUUUAACUUUUUCUUUUCUCUCACUGUCCCCCUCUCUCACUUUGCUUCUUCUCACUGGCCUACUCUCUUUUCCUCAAAUAUGCCAAUUUCACUCUUACAUCAGCCCUUUCCUACACACUGUUCUCUUCACUUGAAGCAAAUGCCACCAAUCCUAGCCCCUUUAUCUAGCUAACUCCUACUCAGUCUUCCAGCUUUUGAAUGCUUCUUUUUCGGUAGAUCUUUCCUAGCCACAGAGUUUAGUUUAAGGUCUCUAUUAUACUCUUUCAUGGCACUAAUUAUAUUUUCUUUAAGGCACUUGUAAUUGCAGUCAUACAGAUAUUUGUAUGAUUAUCAACUUAAUGCCUGCAUCUACCACUCUGCUCUAAUCAACAUGACAACAGGGACUGACUCUUUUGUUUGCCACCGUAUCCCCAAGGCUAUCACAAUAUCCAGCAUGAGUGUGUCAGCGCUUUGUUGAAUUAAUUCAUUGCAAGGAACAGUUAAACAAGCUGAAAAUAAACAACUUUCUCACACCCAUCAGAGAACUGAAGUUUCAGGGCAAAUCAUCACCUCAAAAUCCGGAGAAAAGGAACAUCCCAGAAGAAAGAGGCCAGAUCUGUUUACCUGGUGGAAAAGCCACUGGAGCCAUAGACUGAUAUGAACACUCAAAUAGUAAUUUUGGCCAAUUACUGGGGAAUGAGGAUGGACUGGAGUGAAUGUGAGAAACACCCGGGAGCCAGUCUUGUGGGGGCUUCCACAAUACCACAGACUCCUUUCUGGUGAAG
rnacentral:lncRNA from 10 species